ensembl:lncRNA
GGCUGACAGUUGUCUUAUCAGGAGACCCAACCUGACUGUGUAAGGGUGACGGACAUCCGCUGGGUGAAGGCUGGCAGACAUCCGCUGGGUGAAGGCUGGCGACUUGUCCUCCCUCCUCCGCAGGCACCGGGGUUCCCACAGAAAGGACCCCCCUGCCAAGUCUGAACAGCGCACUUCUGUCUUCCUUGGGUCUUAUUUGAGGGAAGAGAAGAAAGAACACAUCUGGUUCCGAGACCUCCUCUCUGCUCCGGACCGGCAGCGGUAUUGGGAGAUGUCCCAGGUGUGGUCUUCUAGACCAGCCCCCUCUCCCCAUUCCUGGUUUGAGGACUUGGGGAGCGGGUUGCGAGCCGUGUCUGAACCGAUGACCCGCUAGUCUCUGAGAUCGUUCCCACCACCCUUCCUUCCCUCCCUCCCCCGAUCAAUUAUAUUCACCACCAGCACAUUUAUUUCGCCUGCGAUACGGAGAAUUCAUAUUCAUAUCUUGGUUUUAGUGGCCUGACACUGAUUAAUGUAAUACUCACUGUGACUCCAAGGGGCCACCACCCGAUGAAUCAUGCCCUAUAAAGUUUCAGUUGUCCUUGUCGAUGGGACUCGGCCAGGACGCUCGGAAGCCAGAGGAGGAGGGGGGAGAGGGAGACAGUGAGGUCAGGAUGGGCCCUGGUCCUUUCCCCAGAUGCUGGGGCCUUGGGGGGCCUGAGCCUCCCUCCUGAGCCGAACCCUCUUUCUGGUCCUGGCCCUGGGGUUCCCUUCCCUUCCCCGUACCAGCCGUCCUGAGGUUGCCAGGUAGCCGAAGCAGGGUCAGGCUGGGGCUGCUGAACGCGCUGGCGAAAGUGACGGGGCUACCUGUGACCAGUAGGAGCAGGGUUUUGCCUCUGGGGCAUCCGAACUGGAGGCGGGGAAAGGGGGAAAGGAAGCCAAGUCCAGGGAGGGUUGCUGGUGGGGGCAGCAUAGCACAGGUUUGGGGUACACAGACGGCAGGGCCUUGGAAGGCCUGACCAGCCUCCGGCGCUCUCUGCUCAGGGCCUGGACCACUGAGGCCCCAGCGCAGGGAUGCAAGUCGGCCAGGCACUCAGGCUUCCUGGGACCACCGAAAGCCAGACAGAGAAGGCUCUGGUACCCGCCACUGAGCACGCAGCCUGUGCCUUGUGGGCCCGUGAGGCGCCAGGCCCCAGGGAGCCUCCUGCCUCACCUCUCCACCACUGCCCCCCGCAGGAUGCGGCUCCAGCAGGCUGUACAAAGGGAAGCGAAGGCAUCUGCAGUGUCGCUCUGCAGCCCUGGUGACCCAGCGGCCUUGCCAGUUUGUUGGGGCUCCCAGCUCAUGUGUGGAGCAGAAGGUGGAAUCAAAGCCGUGUGUCUCCUCCCCUCUGCGCAGCCCUCUUUCACCGCCGUGGCGAAUCUCUCCCAGCUCCAUGAACCAAUCAAACAACGGCCCCUGUUUGAGUUGAUAUAUUAAUAUUUACUGAGGAUUUGCCAGGUCGGGGCUAAGUGUCAGCAGAUCGCUAGGGCUGUCCUGUGGGAAUAAUUAAACAAGUCUCGCCGCACUCCAUCCUCCUAACAUCUUUAUUAAUCUUUUUCGUUUUCCCCUUCCCCCUCCUGAAAGAGUACAUUGAAAUAUUGCUUUUGCAACCUUGGAGAAAGGUUUAGACUAAAUAACAGGGAAAACACGGUGUGGGCGAUGUGUUUAGCUGGGUGGGUCUCCGGACCCUCCUCUGGCAGGUGUCUGAGGGGAGGGAGGUCCUGGUGGGUAACUUAUGGCCCAGUCGUGGUGGGUUUCACCUGCCUGGUCUGACACAUUUAUCCUGAACAAUCCACCAGAGACAAUCCUACCAUUUCUGAGAUGCGGGCCACACCCCGGCCGUGCCUCAUCGUCCACUCUGCAGAGCAAGGGGCCGCCAGUGGUGGCUUCUGGGUGUCUGCCUUCUUCCGAGUGAUUAUAGGUUACACUUAGAACAAGUUGGACAAUUGUCUUUAAUAAGCUUCAUAAUUAGUGUCGGGACGCCUCAUUACAAGUCAUUGCCUGUAGCAGUCCUGGGCCAAACAGCCCUUCUGCAAUCUGAUUUAUUUUUUAUCAGGCAGCAGGGCUGUCUGGAGUUUUUGUUUGUAUAAUGGGGGCCUGCACCAGGCCCCCAGUGUAAAAAUACCACCAGGAAAUUAAUUGCUUCUGUGUGGAUCCA